UUGUAAUUUUCAUGUGCUUCUAACGUAGGCAAUUGUUAAAGCAUGUGAGAGUCUGGCAGUUGCGGGGAAAAUAAAUGAAAAGGUGUAUGGAAAACAAAAGGUUUAUGCACCCAAGCAGGUAUUAAAAUAUCACUGUAUAGAGUGUAAUAUAAUUACGAUACAGAAGUUGCCGUCAUUUCGAUGAAGGGGCAAAUGCACACCAACCCAGAAAAGACUGGAGAUUCUAGUCUGAAUUGCCACUACACUAAAGCUGGGCAUAUUCAAUUCAACACAAAAAUGAAUCCUCAGGGUCAGGAAAUUAGAUAUGUUUGUACUUUAACCUUUUAACCCGUCGUCCGUUAAAACACUAACUUGUCAGUGGCGAUAUUUAACGGCGUUUUUGGCUGACCCCAUUUAUUGGCUGACCCCAUUGAUAUGUAACAUAUUGUGUUUUAUAAUCCUAUUAAUUUCAAACUGAUAUUUUAGGCACAAUACGGGGACUAUAGUGAAACUGACUUAAAACAAAUUGACGAAGAAGUUAGCAAGCAAGAAAAAAUUUGGACAGGACUGCAAAGCUCUUGUAAGACUUUGGAAGAAGGUACUAGUUUUCUGACAGCGCCGCCGAGAGCGGGGGUUUCCCCAGGCCCCCUGCUCAAAAGGAGCCCCAAAGCAACGAAGGCCCUCAACAUUUCUUGAUACAAUAUUGCUUAACUGAGAAUAUAAAUCCCAGUUGCGUU